rnacentral:lncRNA from 1 species
CAUUACAAACAACAAAUCAGAAGCAUCAAAGCCAAAAAAAUCAGAAAUUGAAGCUAGAAAAGGUAUGAAAUUCCCUAAUUUUGAAAUCUUUCGAUUCUAUGUUAAUUGAUGCAAUUGAUUGUUUAAAGUAGUGUAAUAGGGAGUCUAUUAAUGUUCUGGGUUGUAAAAACACAGACCCAUAACAUCAAAGUGCACGAAUUUGAAGAUUUAAGCAAGUUGGAAAAAACCGGAUUCUGUGAUUUUUCAUCAAAUGUCAGGGCUUAUAACUCUUUGGUCGAUCAUGAGUUUUGUUAUUUAAAAGUUGUUAUAUGUAGCCUGACAUGUGGUCUUUAAUAUUCAAAACGAAUCAAGUUCAUAGAUAUUGUAGAUCGGGAUUUAUAAGCGGUCAAAAUGGGUUGACCGGCAUUGACCGGCUGUUCUUCAAACCCAGAAAAUAUUCUAAGUGUCCAGAAAAUAUUUUUUUGGAAAAUGUCAGGCCUUAUAUCUCGGUUAUCUUUAAUGUGUUUUGUGUUCUAAAGGUUGUUAUGUGUAGCUUGUUAUGUGGUAUUUAACCUCCAAAAAGAAUCAGGUCCAUAUAUAUUACGGAUUAAGAGUUAUUUAAGGUCAAAGUGGGUUGACCGGCAUUGACCAGAAAAUUCUGGGCAGCCCAGAAUUUUCUAAGUGUUAAUUUUUCUGACAAGGUUUGACCAUACUUUAGAUGCUUGAUUUCUUGUUUUUAUGAUGAUGUUAAGUGUUAGAGUUGUAGUCCUACAUGUUGUCUACACACUGGAAUUGAUAGAUCACAUAAACGUUACACGAUCAUCAAGUUAUAGAGGUCCAAAGUAGGCACCUCGAACUGUUCUUCGUGAAGAACAGCUUUGGUAGCUACUUUGAUGGCUGAUUUAUCCCAGAUCUGAUGUUUGUUUAGAGGUUAUGAUUGUUGGAUCUUGUAGUCUUGUAUUUCCUCUACAAGACCCAAUUUAUAGAUUGUCCAAAUUCGUUAAGAUGAGAGAGUUAUUCACGGUCAAAGUAGGCCACUCGGUUCUGCCUUAUGAAGAUCUGGGUAGGCUCAAGAACACCUAUAGCGACACUUCUGUCACUAUAGGGGCCUUUAGCGACAGUUUUAAUUAUUUUAAUUUCUGAUUUUCCGAAAAAUGAUUUAAAAAUUAGAAAAAUUAGAUUUUAAUUAUUAAAAAUACCAAAUAAAUUAUGAAAAAUUAUUUUAAAGUCUGAAAAAUAGUUUUUAAUUAUUUUGAGUAUAUUUCAUAAAUAUUUAAUAUUUUUGGAAUAUAAAAGGUAUUUAUUUAUUUAAUUAUAAUAUUAAAUAAAUGAUUUAAAAAUAGUUUUAAUUCAUGAAAAAUCAUGAAAAAUUAUAUUAUGGUAUAAGAAAAUAUUUUAAGUUAUUUCCCAUGACUUUUAAUAUUUUGUGAUGAAUUUCAUUAAUUAAUUAUAUAUUAAUGAUAUUAAAGUUAUUUAAUGAUUAUAUUAAAUAAUUUAGUUUAAAAAUGAUUUUAAUAUUAUAAAAAUCAUUUUAAAUGAAAUUAAGGUAUUUAAAAAUAUUUUAAGUUAUAAAAUAUAACUUUUAAUAUUUAAAGGAUAAUUUCAUUAAUAAUUUAAUAUUAAUGAUAUUAAGAUAAUAUUAAUGAUAUUUAGUUUAUUUAAUAAUUAUUAUUAAAUAAAUAGUUUAAAAAUGGUUUUAUUUAUUUAAAAAUCAUUUAAAGAGGAUAUUAAGGAUUUAAAAAUAUUUUAAGUUAUAAUUAAUGACUUUUAAUAUUUGGAUGAAUAGUACAUUAAUAUUUAUAUAUUAAUGGUGAUUAUUUAAAAAUGAUUUUAAUUGUUUUAAAAAUCAUUUAAGGGUAAUAUAAAUGUUUUAAAAAUAGUUUGAGUUAUUAUAAAUAACUUUUAUAUUUUGGCAAUGGUUUCAUUAAUAGUUUAAUAUAAAUUAAUUAUUAAUGAUAAUGGAAUUGUUUAAUGUUUAAAUCAUUUAAUUAUGAUUCCGAUGUUUGAAAGUUAUAGCCGGCCAAACUAGCUGACUUGAGAACCGAUUAUGAAGUUAUGAAGUUUUGAGGAACACCUAUAGUAACAGUUAUAUCACUAUAGGCCCGGUAGUGACAGAUUUGAAUUAUUUUAAAUUUUUCAAUUUCUGGAAAAUUCGAAAAUGAUUAAAAAUAAAAUGUUUGAUAUUUACAGAUGUUGAGGUAUAGGAUAAGAGUCUUAGACUCAGUAUUUACCCGAUAAAGCUGUCGGUACGCCGACAAAUGUCAGACCCUAUAAUAGAAAGAAAAGACUUCUGUAAGAGCAUGGAUGAGAUAUUUGAAAAAUGUAUAAAAAUAUUUCAAGUAUAGAAUAUGAACUAAAAGUAUGAUCACUGCGAUUAUGUGAUGACGUGAUUAGACUAUGUGCUGACUGUAAUAGACAGUACUAUGUGUUAUGAUAUAUUGUUCUAAUCGAACGAAUAAUCUGAUUAUUGAUAGGUUGUGAAAAAGAGAUAAAACCUAAGUUGACAUUUGUAAUCAGCAAAUCAGGCAAGUAUCUUACCUUUGCAUUUCCUUUAUGCAAUGGACAUGAGUAAGAAGUUUCAGAAUUAUUCUAUUCCUGUACAGAUUUUGUACGCUUUGAUUAUCAACAUGUUAGCUCAGAUAUAUAUUCUGUUAAGUUGAUUUCUAAAUGGUUAUACAAGUGUCCCUACUUGGAUAAUCAUGACAUUUAUUCACAUGUUGAUACACCUUUGUCAAUUACCCGUAUAUAUAUAUGUUGAAUUACAUAUUAUUGUUGAGCAAGAUUAAAAACCUUCGGGUUUGGAACCAGGCAUGUAUGAACAUCCCUAUAUGGGAAGAUUUUUGCGCCCAAGGCGGAC